UCCUAUGCCAGCAUGACCAAACAACUGCCACUGAACUGUGCACGAUGUCUCUCUGAAACACUCACAAAAGCAUUCCAGAAUGAUCCAAAAGCAGGAGCUGUGCUGAACCAGGGUAAGAGGUUUGAUAAAACAAUUGACUUGGAGGGACUGAAACCAAGAGCACAUUAUUCCUUCAGAAGCCAUUCUUUACAAAGAAAUCACCUUUACUAUUCUAACGGUUUAUGCUUUGGGAGAGCUGAAAGAUUUACCUCUUUUCAUCCCUGUGUGGAGGAAAAAUCAGAAUCAAGCCAAAUUCCAAGAACCCAGGGGACUGACUGGGAAGCCCUGACCUGGGCUGGAACAACUGUCCUCAUGCCCAGCUUGUUUGCCUCUGUGUAACUGACUGCAAGGUGUUACACAGCUACAGGUUUUGCCCAAAGCUCUUGCACUCAAAAUCAGGAGGCACUUUCUGUAAUAAAUGUGGGAGAGGCCGUCUCA
rnacentral:lncRNA from 1 species